GACCAUAUGGCCCAAUGGAUAAGGCGUUGGUCUACGAAACCAGAGAUUCUAGAAUCGAUCCCCAGUACAGUCG
rnacentral:tRNA from 1 species